rnacentral:rRNA from 1 species
UACGUAGGGCGCGAGCGUUGUCCGGAAUUAUUGGGCGUAAAGAGCUCGUAGGCGGCUGGUUGCGUCUGCUGUGAAAUCCCGGGGCUUAACCCCGGGCGUGCAGUGGAUACGGGCCGGCUGGAGGCAGGCAGGGGAGAAUGGAAUUCCCGGUGUAGCGGUGAAAUGCGCAGAUAUCGGGAGGAACACCGGUGGCGAAGGCGGGUCUCUGGGCAACAACUGACGCUGAGGAGCGAAAGCGUGGGGAGCGAACAGG